rnacentral:rRNA from 1 species
UCCCAGACUCCUACGGGAGGCAGCAGUGGGGAAUAUUGCACAAUGGGGGAAACCCUGAUGCAGCGACGCCGCGUGAGUGAAGAAGUAUUUCGGUAUGUAAAGCUCUAUCAGCAGGGAAGAAAAUGACGGUACCUGAUUAAGGAGCCCCGGCUAACUACGUGCCAGCAGCCGCGGUAAUACGUAGGGGGCAAGCGUUAUCCGGAUUUACUGGGUGUAAAGGGAGCGUAGACGGUGAUGCAAGUCAGAAGUGAAAGCCCGGGGCUCAACUCCGGGACUGCUUUUGAAACUGGGUGACUGGAGUGCAGGAGAGGCAAGCGGAAUUCCUGGUGUAGCGGUGAAAUGCUUAG